UUAACACAUGCAAGUCGAGGGGCAGCAUAGAGUAGCAAUACUUUGAUGGCGACCGGCGCACGGGUGAGUAACGCGUAUGCAACCUACCCUGUACAGGGGGAUAGCCCGGAGAAAUUCGGAUUAAUACCCCAUAAAGAUAUCGAGAGGCAUCUUUUGAUAUUUAAAGUUUCGACGGUACGGGAUGGGCAUGCGUAACAUUAGCUAGUUGGUAGGGUAACGGCCUACCAAGGCGACGAUGUUUAGGGGUCCUGAGAGGGUGAUCCCCCACACUGGUACUGAGACACGGAUCAGACUCCUACGGGAGGCAGCAGUGAGGAAUAUUGGUCAAUGGGCGUAAGCCUGAACCAGCCAUCCCGCGUGAAGGAAGACGGCGCUAUGCGUUGUAAACUUCUUUUCCAGAGGAAUAAAAUUUUGUACGAGUACGGAACUGAAGGUACUCUGGGAAUAAGCAUCGGCUAACUCCGUGCCAGCAGCCGCGCGAAUACGGAGGAUGCGAGCGUUAUCCGGAUUUAUUGGGUUUAAAGGGUGCGUAGGCGGAUUAAUAAGUCAGUGGUGAAAACCUUCAGC
rnacentral:rRNA from 1 species